rnacentral:rRNA from 1 species
GACAGAGGUGCCGAGCGUUAGGCGGAAUCACUGGGCUUAAAGCGUGUGUAGGCGGGUCUGUAAGUACCUUGUGAAAUCCCACGGCUCAACCGUGGAACUGCUUGGUAUACUGCGGGUCUUGAGCCACUUAGGGGCAACCGGAACAAACGGUGGAGCGGUGAAAUGCGUAGAUAUCGUUUGGAACGCCAAUGGUGAAAACAGGUUGCUGGGACGGUACUGACGCUAAGGCGCGAAAGCGUGGGGAGCGAACAGG